UUCGUGUUCUGGCUUUUCUGUGUGAUGGAGUGUCAGAGAGCAGCCUGUUGUGGCAUACUGGAAAAAGACCAAAUACAAGCUGUCAAGAAAGGCACCAGCACUCGUGUCUGCUGCUCCCACCUGUCAACUGGAAACACUGGGUGCUGAGGUGGAACAAGGCAUCGACUUGCAAAUGCCUGGUCUGCUGUGCCUGAUGCCCUGCUGCAUAAUGCAGCCACCCAGGGAAGAUGAGGAGUGCUGGUCCCAUGUCAUGCCAAGAUCACUCAAGCAGUUUGUCAAACCCCACUGUAACAGGCUAACAAAACAUGGCAGGGCAUGGAUGUCAGCUUAAUGCUCAUGGCUACACAAGGACUGCAGUUCUGCUGGUGACAACGGAGAACACUCACAACUCUACUUGUUUCCUCAUAGAUUUUUGAUGAAGUGGUUAACUUGAGUAACACCUCCCACCCCACACUGCCUGGUUAGCCAGGUCACGGUUCCAAGUUUAGCAGCUAAUGAUCACACCAUACCUCACACAACUGCUGUGAAAAUAGAUUCUGGUGUCUGUUCAAGAAGCUCCCACUUCAUAAGAUUUAUUUUCUUUUGUAGUUCAUAUAUGACAAACCCCACAAAGUUACAGAAGGAUCUACUUCCAAAUUAAGUCAGCUUCAUCAUUAGAAAGCACAUCUAUAUUAUUUUCCAUGUGAACUUAUUUAAAAGAUGAAAGAAAAACAAUUCAUUCCUUUUGGCACUUAUUAAUCAGGAGUUUGAGUGUGUUUGAUGUGCAUUUUAUCUUCUGCAGAUUGCUUACAGCACUAACAGGCAUUUUAUAUUUUCAGUAACUCUACUGUGACUUUAAGAUAUAAAUCCUCCUAUAGAUUUAUUUUUUUUUUUUUUCCCGGAAGCCCUGUAAAGCACAGAGGUGCAAUAACAAUUCACAGUUGUCUCUAGAAGAGCAGGGACCUCCUCUGGACAGACCAGCCCCUCUAUUUGUUCUUUCACAUUUUCUGAAGCUCUGAUUUUCCCCCCUCUCUCUCUGAAAGCUUAUAUUGGGUUCCUCUAAUGUGGUGACACCCCCAGGUGAGCCAGAACAGGGCUAGGCCCCAGUGAGCUGCUAAGUGCUGCUGCAGAGCAGGGUGGUUCUUGCCAAAACCCCUUGUGCUGCUGCAGCACCUGAUGGAUGCUCACUGCUGAGGGACAUGGUGGGUCACGUCCCUGCUGGCUGCCUGUGACCUACAUAAUACUGACUGAGAAUUACAGCCCUGACAGCAUGUCGCUGUUUCUGGGCUCAAAAAAGUGAGAGUGAAAAGCGUUAAUGUGUGCUAAUUUCACUUUGCAGCUCUUGGGAACAGUGAAAGCAGCAGAGCAGGAACUGCUCACGGCAGAAAAAAAACACAUAAAAGAGAGGGUGUGUGAGGAAAGAGGAGGAGAGACUUAUUUACACCUCUGUGAGGAGCUUCUGGAGGCCCAGUGAGCGAGGGGUGGAGAACUCGGAGCGGAUGCUGAAACGCAGGGAGGAUGCAUGCUCCAGUGUGGGUUGUACCACAGCCCGGUCUGGGAUGCGGGGCUUCAGGAGCGUCACGUUUUUGGGGCCAUGGUCUGAGGUAGGCAACUCACAGGCGCAGCUCUGACCACUGCAGCGUGGCACGGGAGAACCUGGCAUCCUGCAGGCAGUGCUGCCUGGCUGCCCCACACACACAGCUGGGGCCAGGGACUGCUGCCACCCCUGCCUGCACUGGCAUCUCACUGGGCAGCAGGGAGAUGCAGCACACUGACCACUGCUGGGUCAAAGUCACUCUCCAGCUCUACCAGCUGUUAACUCGCUUACAGGCACUGUACCAGGAAAACAAACCAAGUCCCAAGCUUGGAGUCCACAGUCUCCUGCCUGUUGCAGCUUCCAACGUGCUGACCAGCACAGCAUAAGGCAUGUGCUGCUCCUUGGCUUAUUGCAGAGACCACCAAAACACUACCAGGUCAGAGCCAAAUCUCUCCCGGUCCAUGACCAAGAUGCUGAUCCCCAGCACUUGGGGAUAAGCUGGUACGACUCCUGCCUAGGGGUUUGGCUGCUGGAAAAACUGGCAUCCUGUAGGCAGCAGAGCUGUGGCUCAAACAAUGAAGGGUGUGAGGACUCUGCUCCAUUUCGUUUAAAACAAACAGGGAAUAUCAACCACCACAGAUGAGACCAACCCACUGCACCUGCGCUCAGCAGAGAGGACCUGUGUCCCACCACCAUGCUCCAUCUGCUAUUGCCACCUCCCAGUUAAGGGUGAGCAGUGAAACAGUCCCACGCUGUCAAAAGCUCUGCAAGUCGCUGACAGCCAUCACAUCCUGUGACCCAGCCAGCCCUGGGUCAGAUGGGGCUCUUGCCAUGAACCACACUGUGCUGCAGGAACUGACACAGACAGUUGGCUCUGGAGGUGCCGUUACUCCCUGUGGAUCCUUAAUGAUGCUCCUGUGGGCUGGCUGGGGACAGCUGCUCAAGGGACUGGCUUUUCCAGGUAAAGGUGGAGUAAGCCUGCUCACAGCUCUCACUGCACCCUUCUGGCCACACUGGUCCCACUGGCAGCCUGACCAUAACUCCUCACCUUGCCAUGCACAGCUCCAUAUGCGCUAAAACUUUGUUCUUAUAGUCUACAUCAGCAACAGUUCCAGCAGUUCCUGUAUCUGUCCCUACGUCACUUCAGCUUAUUUUUUUAAAGUGCUUUUGGUACUACAGAGGUACAAGCAUUGAGAGGCUCCAAGAAGACAUAAAAAUGACCUGCUCAGCAUUGCCUGCAUGUACACAUCUGCUGUCCUGGUUAAUGUCUAUUAGGAAGGAUGUGUACAAUAGAGCAGUUCACUUAGUUCUUUCAAAGUACAAACUCACUAAAGAGAAGAGACUUCAAUGUUUAAUACUUGGAAUAGUAUUAAACUAUGCAACUCUGCAACAGAACAGACCUGAAAACAGAACAGACUUGAAAAAAAAAGACUAAUUCAGCAUACAAAUCCGAGGCCACCACAAACCCAAAUGUGACGCUGUACCUACUGCAGCUCGUUUACAGCGUUUCGGAACUGAAAGAUUAUUCACCCUGAAAGAAUAUCUCUCGGCCGUUCAAAAGAAAACCACUACGUUUCAAAGCCGUGUUUAUACCGAAACGCCCAAACCGGGGAAGAGCACGGCUGAGGCCACCUUCUCCAUGGCAAGAUUCCGGAUGCUCGGGGUGAGGGAGCCCCGGCAAGUGGGGCAGAGGCUCAGCUUCUGCCGGCAUUGAUUGCAGACCAGGUGCCCGGCCUGACACUGCAGGAUGG